rnacentral:RNase_P_RNA from 1 species
CCAGCCGGCUGGAUGGCCGCUGCUCUCGAGCAGAGGAAAGUCCGGGCUCCACGGAGACACGGCGCCGGAUAAGGUCCGGCGGGGGCGACCCCAGGGAAAGCGCCACAGAAAGCAAACCGCCACGGUCCUUCGGGCCCGCGGCAAGGGUGAAAGGGUGCGGUAAGAGCGCACCGCUCGGGCGGCGACGUCCGAGGCAUGGCAAGCCCCGCCGGGAGCAAGACCGAAUAGGGGCGAAUUCGGAAGCAGCGAUGUUUCCACGGCCCGUCUCCGGGCCGUCGCCCGGGUUGGUCGCUAGAGGCGGCAGGCAACCGCCGUCCCAGAGGAAUGGCCAUCGCGCGCGGGAGACCGCGCCAUACAGAACCCGGCUUACAGGCCGGCUGGCCCU